UUCAUAAAGGGGUUGUGAAACGGUCUUGGUCCUGUCUGUCCUCAUCAUUAACAAACCAGGUUAUAAACCAGGUUAUUUAGAACAAACCAGGUAAUAAACCAGGUUAUUUAGGACAAACCAGGUUAUAAACCAGGUUAUUUAGAAUAAACUAGGUUAUUUUAGCAUAAACCAGGUUAUAAACCAGGUUAUUUUAGCAUAAGCCAGGUUAUAACCCAGGUUAUUUAGUAUAAACCAGGUUAUAAACAAGGUUAUUUCAUAUAAACCAGGUUAUAAACCAGGUUGUUUAGCAUAAACCAGGUUAUUAAAGUAUGUCGUUAACAUUGACCUCCUUUGGCUGUGGAUUGACAACAGUAGUCAUGUGACCAUAAAUGGUCGUGGUCACUUCCUCCUUUCUUCCGCAUACAUGUAUGUACUUGUUGAUAACAGCGGUUCUCAUGUACAGUCGGUACAGAUAGUCUUCAGAACCCUGGACAUGUUCCACUCUUUGUUCUGUUGGAUCUGUUUGUUCAAAUCCUUUCAGUUCUGUUGUUCCUCAUUAAUGUUUACAUAUUUAGACACAACCAAACUGAACUGGACACAUUUAGACACAAUCAAACUGAGCUGGACACAUUUAGACAGAACCAAACUGGACACAUUUAGACAGAACCAAACUGAACUGGACACAUUUAUGCAGAUUCAUUCAAACAGACAAACGGAAGUGUCCAUGUCCAUCAGUCUGCAGAGCCUUUACUGGGACACUGGUCUACUGAACUCGGGUCGACUGGUUCUGAUCCUCCUUCAGAUGGUUCUCCAGCUGCAUGUGAGUCCAGCUGUGUUGAAUUAAACCAGUUGGACUGGAUUAUUAAAGGUCCACACCUUCUAUAGAAGACCUUCCAGCUCACAGUGCAUGUCAGAGCUAAUGAGAACCAGGAGGUCCAAGAAACCGCCCCCAGAGCCCACAGACAGAACUGGUACAGAAGAAAGUCUGCUGCAUUGAAGGUUCCUCAGAACUGUGGACAGGCCCAGAUCUGGACAAGGUUACAGAAGAACGUCUGCUGUGAAGGUUCCUCAGAGCACAGUGGCCUCCAGAACCCUUCAAUAGAAGAGGUUAGGACUAUCAGAACUCUGCCUAGAGCUGGACAUCCACCAAACUGAGCAAUGGGAGGAGAGGAGCCUUGGUGAGAAAGGUCCAGAAGAACCAAAGAUCACUGUGGCUGAGCUCCAUAGAUACAGUGGGAAGAUGGGAGAAUGUUCUAGAAAGUCCACCAUCACUGCAGCCCCCCUUCCACCAAAAGGGGCUUUAUGGCAGUGUGGUCCAACGGAAGCCUCUCCUCAGUGGAAGACCCAUGAAAGCCCCCAUAGAAUAGGACCAAAACCACCUGAAGGACACCCAGACUAUGAGGACUAAGGUUCUCUGGUCUGAUGAGACCCAGAUGAACCUGUUGGGCCUUAAUUCUCAGUGGUAUGUGGAGACACCCAGGCCCUGCUCAUCACCUGUUCAAUCCAGUCCUACCAAUGAAGCAUGGGGGGACCUGAACAUGGCCGUCCGCCAACGUCCACCAUCCAACCAAACCUGAACAUGGCCGUCCACCAUCCAACCAGACCUGAACAUGGCCGUCCACCAACUCACACCAUCCAACUGGAUACAACUACACCAGAUCUGCAAGGACCAAUGACACAGGAUCCUAAACCCAGGGGUGACAGACUGGUUCCAUCCUUCAUAGUAAACUCCUGUCUGAAUUAUGUCCAAAGGGUGGAUCUACUCAGUACUGACCAAAGGCUCUGCAGACUGAUGGACAUUUAUGUUUGUCUGUUUGAACAAAUCUACAUAAAUGUGUCCAGUUCAGUUUGGUUCUGUCUAAAUGGGCUGAAUGUGUGAACAUUAAUGAGGAACAACAGGAACUGAAGGAUUUUAACAAACAGCUGCAACAGAACAGAGUGGAACAUUUCAGGAGGUCUGUAGACUAUCUGUAGACCUCCGUAGACUAUCUGUAGACCUCUGUAGGCUUUCUGUAGACUACCUGUAGACCUCUGUAGACUGUACCGACUGUAUUUGUGUGAUGUGCAUUUGAUAUUUAGCAUCAGGUGAUGUUUAUGGAAACACCAAAAAGGUUCUUCAUUUGGUUUUCCAUAAAUGGGUAAUGUAAACAUGUGUUCCUACAAAUUCUGAUGUAACUAACAUGACUGAUCAGCUGAUGGCUGCAUCCUCACAAAUAUUACAGACUAAAUUAUUGCUCUGUCAUUCUUGACAGACGUCCCCUCCCAGCGUGUUCAUCUCUGUAUUUGUGAUGGCACCAACAUUCCCUAACCCUAACCCACACAUUCGUGUUGUGGUUUCAUGUACCUUCAGUUGUGAAUGUUUGGCCAAUGAGCUGCUUUU